rnacentral:lncRNA from 1 species
UCUUUUUCAUUCUCUGAUAACUUCACUGACUUCAUCGUCGACCUAUUUACCUUGAAAAUUGAAGGAAAAAAAUGGCGGAUGUCUGCAACUCUUCAACCUUUUUCCAGCAAUUUGAGAAGAAACAAAAAAUUAUUAAUGGAGGAUAAACGCAUUUUGUCUUAAAAAAAAUUCACAUUGCACAAAAAAAAAAGAGGACUCCAAAUAGAAAUAGUGAUUUAGUCCCCUUGAGGAGAUGUUUAUUACAGUAAUGGAAAAGGCCUUCCUGUUAGGUUGAAUGAGAGAAUGACUGCCCCAACUAAAAGAGGAAGAAGCGUU